UCCUGGAAAUAAACACACAGCCAAGCUUGUGGGACUUGGUUCCAUCUCAUUGCUUCUUCUUCCAGUGGAUGAUUCUGCCUCUUCCAUAUGAAGAAUGGCUUUUUGAAGAGAGACUUGAGUCUUUAAGGCCUUGGUUAUAUGUGUAUGCAUGCCUGUGUCCAUGUGUGCACAUGUGUGGUAUACCAGAUGUCCCAAACAGAAAGCUCUAACUAGGAUUGAGAGGUAAAAGUCACCUUUUUGUGUCUUUCUUUCUUUUUUUUUUUUAAUUUUACGGCUUCACCUGCAAAGUGGACUUCCAAAAGCUCUACCUAGGAUUGAGAGGUUGAAAUCACCUUUGUGUUUCUUUCUUUUUUAAAAAAAUUUUACGGCCCCACCUGUGAAGUGGACUUCCGAACCUGGAAGUUCCCAGGCCAGGGACUGAAUCCAAGCCACAGCUGUGGAAAUGCUGGAUCCUUUAACCCACUGCACCAGGCUGGAGAUAGAACUUGCAGUGACCGGAGCCACUGCAGUCAGGUUCUUAACGUACUACAGAAACUCCAAGGUCACCUUUUUCUAGUCAAGUAUCAUCUUAUUUAUCACUAGGACAUGACACCCUAAAACCCUGGGAGUAGGAGUACAGUACUGGUAAAGGAAGAGGUGCCUGAGACAUCCACUUGGCCUCCACGACCAUGUAGCGGAGUGGCUCCUGGUAGGAACUGCCUUCACAGGACGUGAUGUGUGCACUUGAGCACAGAAGCAUGAAUGAAGAGGGCAUGGCUUGAAGCAUUUUAAGCUCCUGCAGCAGGUAAAAAACCUCUAAGGUUGUACAAUCAGAGAGCAAGCACUUGUCAGAGAACAGGAGGAACUCAUUUAUGAAAAGGGAGAUGGUUGGAAGCUCCCAUGGUGAUUGGUUGGGCUAUCAGAAAAGGUUUUUCUUAUGGAUCAUGGCUAUGAAAUAAAACUUGAAAAUGAGAGUGGGAGGGAUCAGGAAACCAAGAAAGUAUUUUUGAGCUCAUGUAACUCAUUCAUUCACCAGAGACUGCUGUUCCUGGAACUGUCCAUCAUCGGCUGGGUCCAUACAAGCCAACUGGAAUAUUUCCUGCGGGGAGAGUGGACUCAUCGAAGGGUAUCCACUCCGGCCACUCCUGCAAAGGAAUGCCAAGUUCAGAGGUAAUGCGUGCAUAAGAGAGAAUCAGUCAUGACGUAAUGGCCAUUAUCAAUUCUCACCCAGACAAGACUUCCUUCCCAGCAAGGGCCACACCCUUGGCCUCAAUUGGUUUGUAAGCCUGGUAACUUACAGGUGGCUAGCCCUAGAAUAGAAUUUUUUUUUUUUUAAGCAUUGGAAAAGAGAAACCACUGUUUUUAACCUGCAUGUGGAACCAUUCAUCAUUCUGCUGGCGACUAGCAUAUCUGUGACAAAUGACAUCAUUUGUCACACUCAGCCAUAUGGAAGACCAAUGCUAGAUGGUAAACCUGUUUCUGCUCAGUUUCUCUGUUCGGCAGAAAAAUGCCAUAGUUUAAACAGUGAACAGUUUGUUUAAAUAUUAGGCAGUCAUAGUCUUUUCAAAAAAUUUCUUCCACUCUCUGGAAGAAUAUGGCAUUAUUGUGCCAACAUCCCUGGCCAAAUGAAACAAUUCAAUGCCAUGCACAUUUAUUAAAGGACUGCUCUAUACCAGACACUGUGUCUGUUGGCUUAUGACCUGGGUGGAAUGAUUUCAGAGGUGAUACUGAAGAGGUGACAACCUCUCGGUCGAUGGCUAUGUCAGAGGACAUUUAAAUGGUAAUGAGGUCAAGGACAGAGUUGGCCAACUGUUUAGAGGCCUCUGGAUGAAAAGUGUGGGGAGCUAUCACAGUGUGUCUGGUACCAAACAGUGGUUUGGUACCUUCAGACACCCUGAGCCAAUAGGAGCCACUGGGCUGGUUACAAAAAAAAAAAAAAAAAAAAAAAAA